rnacentral:rRNA from 1 species
AUUGAACGCUGGCGGCAUGCCUUACACAUGCAAGUCGAACGGUAACAGGUCUUUCGGGAUGCUGACGAGUGGCGAACGGGUGAGUAAUACAUCGGAACGUGCCUAGUUGUGGGGGAUAACUACUCGAAAGAGUGGCUAAUACCGCAUGAGAUCUACGGAUGAAAGCAGGGGACCUUCGGGCCUUGUGCUACUAGAGCGGCCGAUGGCAGAUUAGGUAGUUGGUGGGAUAAAAGCUUACCAAGCCUACGAUCUGUAGCUGGUCUGAGAGGACGAUCAGCCACACUGGGACUGAGACACGGCCCAGACUCCUACGGGAGGCAGCAGUGGGGAAUUUUGGACAAUGGGCGCAAGCCUGAUCCAGCAAUGCCGCGUGCAGGAUGAAGGCCUUCGGGUUGUAAACUGCUUUUGUACGGAACGAAAUGUCUUGGGUUAAUACCCUGGGAUCAUGACGGUACCGUAAGAAUAAGCACCGGCUAACUACGUGCCAGCCGCCGCCGUAA